AGUGAACGCUGGCGGUAGGCCUAACACAUGCAAGUCGAACGGCAGCACAGUAAGAGCUUGCUCUUACGGGUGGCGAGUGGCGGACGGGUGAGGAAUACAUCGGAAUCUACUUUUUCGUGGGGGAUAACGUAGGGAAACUUACGCUAAUACCGCAUACGACCUACGGGUGAAAGCAUGGGAUCUUCGGACCUUGCGCGAUUGAAUGAGCCGAUGUCGGAUUAGCUAGUUGGCGGGGUAAAGGCCCACCAAGGCGACGAUCCGUAGCUGGUCUGAGAGGAUGAUCAGCCACACUGGAACUGAGACACGGUCCAGACUCCUACGGGAGGCAGCAGUGGGGAAUAUUAGACAAUGGGCGCAAGCCUGAUCCAGCCAUACCGCGUGGGUGAAGAAGGCCUUCGGGUUGUAAAGCCCUUUUGUUGGGAAAGAAAAGCAGCAGGUUAAUACCCCGCUGUUCUGACGGUACCCAAAGAAUAAGCACCGGCUAACUUCGUG
rnacentral:rRNA from 1 species